UACGUAGGGUGCAGGCGUUAAUCGGAAUUACUGGGCGUAAAGGGUUUGUAGGUGGCUUGUUAAGUCAGACGUGAAAUCCCUCAGCUUAACUGGGGAACUGCGUCUGAUACUGGCGAGCUUGAGUGCAGGAGAGGAACGCGGAAUUCCAGGUGUAGCGGUGAAAUGCGUAGAUAUCUGGAGGAACACCGGUGGCGAAGGCGGCAUCCUGGACCGGCAUUGACGCUGAGGCGCGAAAGCCAGGGGAGCAAACGGG
rnacentral:rRNA from 1 species